CUACGCACUCCUACGGGAGCAGCAGUGGGGAAUAUUGCACAAUGGGCGCAAGCCUGAUGCAGCCAUGCCGCGUGUAUGAAGAAGGCCUUCGGGUUGUAAAGUACUUUCAGCAGUGAGGAAGGUGGGUAUGUUAAUAGCAUAUUCAUUUGACGUUAGCUGCAGAAGAAGCACCGGCUAACUCCGUGCCAGCAGCCGCGGUAAUACGGAGGGUGCGAGCGUUAAUCGGAAUUACUGGGCGUAAAGCGCAUGCAGGUGGUUUGUUAAGUCAGAUGUGAAAGCCCGGGGCUCAACCUCGGAAUUGCAUUUGAAACUGGCAAACUAGAGUACUGUAGAGGGGGUAGAAUUUCAGGUGUAGCGGUGAAAUGCGUAGAGAUCUGAAGGAAUACCGGUGGCGAAGGCGGCCCCCUGGACAGAUACUGACACUCAGAUGCGAAAGCGUGGGGAGCAAACAGGAUUAGAUACCCUGGUAG
rnacentral:rRNA from 1 species